rnacentral:rRNA from 1 species
CCUACGGGUGGCUGCAGUGGGGAAUAUUGGGCAAUGGGCGCAAGCCUGACCCAGCAACGCCGCGUGAAGGAAGAAGGCUUUCUGGUUGUAAACUUCUUUUAAUAGGGGAGAGCAGCAGGCGGUACCUCUUUCAUAGUCCACUGCUCACUACGUGCCAGCGGCCGCGGUCAUACGUCGGUGGCAGGCGUUGUCCGGGUUUCCUGGGUGUAAAGGGCGUGUAGCCGGGCUGACAAGUCAGGUGUGAAAUCCCGUGGCUCAACCACGGAACUGCAUUUGAAACUGUCGGUCUUGAGUAUAGGAGAGGCAGGCGGAAUUCCUAGUGUAGCGGUGAAAUGCGUAGAUAUGAGGAGGAACACCAGUGGCGAAGGCGGCCUGCUGGACGAUAACUGACGGUGAGGCGCGAAAGCGUGGGGAGCAAACAGGAUUAGAUACCCCUGUAGUC